AAUCAACGUAACGCCUUGAAAACACACAUGCACCGGCACAUGGUCCCGGGUGCUGCCGCGUCUCUCGCGAGCGUGGCGGUCGGAUCCAUGGGGUGCAUGGAGGCCUAACC
rnacentral:sRNA from 1 species